rnacentral:rRNA from 1 species
CGUCAGCUCGUGUCGUGAGAUGUUCGGUUAAGUCCGCUAACGAGCGCAACCCUCGCUGUGUGUUAUAUGUGUCACACAGGACUGCUGGUAUUAAGCCGGAGGAGGUGGGACGACGUCAAGUCAGCAUGACCUUUAUAUCCAGGGCUACACACACGCUACAAUGGUCAGUACAAUGGGUUGCCAAGCCGCGAGGCGGAGCCAAUCCUAAAAAAGCUGGCCUCAGUUCAGAUUGCAGUCUGAAACUCGACUGCAUGAAGUCGGAGUUGCUAGUAAACGCAGGUCAGCUAUACUGCGUUGAAUACGGUUCCCGGGGCUU